rnacentral:rRNA from 1 species
GUUGAACGCUAGCGGCAUGCUUUACACAUGCAAGUCGAACGGCAGCGCGGACUUCGUUCUGGCCUCGAGUUGCGAACGGGCGAGUAAGUUAUCGGAACGUGCCCAGUCUCUGGGGCUAACUAAACUAAAGCGUAGCUAAGACCGCAUACGCCCUACGUGUGAAACCCGUGGAUCGUAAGACCUUGCCCUAUUUGCUCGGCCUAUUACGGAUUAGCUAGUUGGUAAGGUAACGGCUCACCAAGGCGACGAUCCAUAGCCGGUUUGAGAGGCCGACCGGCCACACUGGGACUGAGACACGGCCCAGACUCCUACGGGAGGCAGCAGUGGGGAAUCUUCGACAAUGGGCGAAAGCCUGAUCGAGCCAUGCCGCGUGAGUGAUGAAGGUCUUCGGGUCGUAAAACACUGUUAGUAGGAAAGAACAGUCGCGGGAGAAACUGUCGAGGACCUGACGGUACCUGCAGAGAAAGCAACGGCUAACUACGUG